UAGUGACUUCCAUCGGCUUACUCUCACACCCUACAAAUUUAUGCUACCUGAACCAUCCCGUUUGCCAUAGGAUGACUGCAUCCAUAUCCACAACAUAUCCCCAUUUCUUGAAAAAUUCAUUUUCUGUAAGGAGAGAUGCUUCUUACACUAAGUAUUUCACCCCCCAAAUCUUCACCAAUUCAGUCUAUGUCAGAAAAACAACCUGCACUGCAGCUGCAUCAUCAAUAUCAGCAUCUGGGUCAAGCCCCCAAGUGAACCAAGCCAUCCCAACAGGGCAAUUCAAUGAUGGGUCCUCCACAAGAUUAUCACCUAUUUUAAAUGGGUGCUGGACAUUGGCGGGAGGCCAUGGAAGGAUUGUGGAAGAAGAAAUCAUCUCUGUCAUGGAGACGUAUGCAUCCAGAGGCCUCAAUACAUUUGACACUGCUGAUAUAUAUGGUCCAAGCGAAGAAAUCCUAGGCAGGUUCAGGAAUCAAUGGGAGACAAACAACAAGAAAAACCCACAAAUCCCACUUCCUCAGGUACAUAUAUUCACAAAAUAUGUACCCAAUAUAUUCCAAGGUACCCCCAACCCUUCGUCAGUAGAAAGAAGGAUUAGACAGUCCAUGGAGGCCCUGGGAGUGGAAAAACUAGACCUUGUGCAGCUACAUUGGUGGGAUUAUUAUAUCCAAGGAAUGCUAGAUACCGCCCUUGCUCUAGCAGAGCUCAAGGAGAGAGGCCUGAUUACAAGCAUAGGCACAACUAACAUGAAUACAGAGGCCCUCUCUAAACUUGUGGAUGCUGGUGUUCCUGUUGUCUGCAACCAGGUACAAUUUUCUGUACUUGAUCCCAGGCCUUUGGCAAAGAUGGUCCCUUUCUGCAAGGAAAAGGACAUUAAGUUGCUUACUUAUGGUUCCCUUGCUGGAGGACUGCUUUCUGAUAAGUAUUGGGGUGGAGGGAAGAAGGGUAUGCUUGCAAAGAUGAAUCUUUCCAAGAAAGUCGCUUUGAACACCUCCAGCUUGAAGAUGUAUUGGAACAUUGUUAAGGUAGCGGGGGGUGAGUUUUAUUGGAGAAAGUUGCUUGAUGUGUUGGCAGAGAUUUCUGCUAAGCACUCUGCAACUAUAUCUAAUGUUGCCUUGAAGUGGGUUAUGCAGCAAGGGCCUGUGUAUCCUAUUGUUGGCAUUCGGAAUGCUGAUCAUCUGGAUGAGAAUUUGAAGGUUUUUGGGUUUGAGUUAGACGAAUCAGACCUGCAGAAGAUAGAGGAGGUGCAGAGGGAAAGCAGUGGGCCUGUUGGUGACUGCUAUGAUAUGGAGAGACCUGAUUGAAUGGACGAGGUUGGAAUUGGCAGCAUUUCUAUGCAAAGACUUUCUUUCAUUAUUGGACUGUGAUGAAGGACCAGGUGUGUGGCUUACCCACUCACUAAUGUAAGCUAGUUUCUAUUCAACACCUAUAUCAAUGGCAACAACCAGUCUUGUGACACUGGUGACAACACUGAGUUACUUUAAAAAGAGUUGAUUACCAAAGGACUAACAGUCGAUCAUGCUCCAGAAUGGCUAUUGUCUAUAAUGUAUUUGCCUGUACACCUGUACUAAUACAGGGGCAGGGCAAUAAUUGUAUUUCUUGAAUUCUCUCAAAUUUGAUUUAAAUACACAAAAGCUUUCAGUUUCU